rnacentral:rRNA from 1 species
CUAAAAAAGUAUAUAAUUAUUUAUUGAAACUUAAAUAAUUUGGCGGUAUUUUAGUUCAUUUAGAGGAAUCUGUUUAAUAAUUGAUAAUCCACGAAUAAAUUUACUUAAUUUUUUAUUUUGUAUAUCGUUGUUAUAAAAAUAUUUUUUAAUAAUAAUAAUAUUUUAAAAUUUUAAUUAAAAAUUAAAUCAGAUCAAGAUGCAGAUUAUAAUUAAGAAUAUAAUGGAUUACAAUAAAUUUAUUUAAAUGAAUAUUAAUUUGUAAAAUUUAAUUGAAGGUGGAUUUAAAUGUAA